rnacentral:rRNA from 1 species
GACAGAGGGUGCAAACGUUGUUCGGAAUUACUGGGCGUAAAGCGCGUGUAGGCUGCUCUGCAAGUCGGAUGUGAAAGCCCUGGGCUCAACCUAGGAAGUGCAUUCGAAACUGCAGAGCUGGAGUCCUGGAGAGGAAGGCGGAAUUCUCGGUGUAGCGGUGAAAUGCGUAGAUAUCGAGAGGAACACCUGCGGCGAAGGCGGGUUGCUGGGCUGACACUGACGCUGAGGCGCGAAAGCUAGGGGAGCGAACGGG